rnacentral:rRNA from 1 species
CCUACGGGUGGCAGCAGUGGGGAAUAUUGCACAAUGGGGGAAACCCUGAUGCAGCGACGCCGCGUGAGUGAAGAAGUAUCUCGGUACGUAAAGCUCUAUCAGCAGGGAAGAAAAUGACGGUACCUGACUAAGAAGCCCCGGCUAACUACGUGCCAGCAGCCGCGGUAAUACGUAGGGGGCAAGCGUUAUCCGGAUUUACUGGGUGUAAAGGGAGCGUAGACGGCAGCACAAGUCUGGAGUGAAAUCCCGGGGCUUAACCCCGGGACUGCAUUGGAAACUGUUGAACUGGAGUACAGGAGAGGUAAGCGGAAUUCCUAGUGUAGCGGUGAAAUGCGUAGAUAUUAGGAGGAACACCAGUGGCGAAGGCGGCUUACUGGACUGUAACUGACGUUGAGGCUCGAAAGCGUGGGGAGCAAACAGGAUUAGAUACCCGAGUAGUC